rnacentral:rRNA from 1 species
GACGAACGCUGGCGGCGCGCCUAACACAUGCAAGUCGAACGAGCAAAGAGGAGCUUGCUUCUCUGAGCGAGUGGCGAACGGGUGAGUAACGCGUGAGGAACCUGCCUCAAAGAGGGGGACAACAGUUGGAAACGACUGCUAAUACCGCAUAAGCCCACGGGUCGGCAUCGACCAGAGGGAAAAGGAGCAAUCCGCUUUGAGAUGGCCUCGCGUCCGAUUAGCUAGUUGGUGAGGUAAUGGCCCACCAAGGCGACGAUCGGUAGCCGGACUGAGAGGUUGAACGGCCACAUUGGGACUGAGACACGGCCCAGACUCCUACGGGAGGCAGCAGUGGGGAAUAUUGCACAAUGGGGGAAACCCUGAUGCAGCGACGCCGCGUGAGCGAAGAAGUAUUUCGGUAUGUAAAGCUCUAUCAGCAGGGAAGAAGAAAUGACGGUACCUGACUAAGAAGCACCGGCUAAAUACGUG